rnacentral:rRNA from 1 species
AUUGAACGCUGGCGGCAGGCCUAACACAUGCAAGUCGAACGGUAACAGGAAGCAGCUUGCUGCUUCGCUGACGAGUGGCGGACGGGUGAGUAAUGUCUGGGAAGCUGCCUGAUGGAGGGGGAUAACUACUGGAAACGGUAGCUAAUACCGCAUAAUGUCGCAAGACCAAAGAGGGGGACCUUCGGGCCUCUUGCCAUCGGAUGUGCCCAGAUGGGAUUAGCUUGUUGGUGGGGUAACGGCUCACCAAGGCGACGAUCCCUAGCUGGUCUGAGAGGAUGACCAGCCACACUGGAACUGAGACACGGUCCAGACUCCUACGGGAGGCAGCAGCGGGGAAUAUUGCACAAUGGGCGCAAGCCUGAUGCAGCCAUGCCGCGUGUAUGAAGAAGGCCUUCGGGUUGUAAAGUACUUUCAGCGGGGAGGAAGGGAGUAAAGUUAAUACCUUUGCUCAUUGACGUUACCCGCAGAAGAAGCACCGGCUAACUCCGUG